UUUUGGAUUUGGAUUUUGUUUCAGUGGAUUUGUUGGUGGGGUUCCCAGACUGCCCAUAAGCAGGGCACAGGCUGGCUUUGGCUGAAGGAAACUGGACACCGAGGAGUGAUGCUUGAAACCCUCCCUCCUUCUCACAAGCCAGGUGUGAACCAUGGACAAAAGGGACCAAGAAUGGGAAAGUAUUCUGGAAAGUCUGGCUUGCCUUGGGAUUAGUAUUAUAAAAAUCAAAUGGGAAAGUAAUGAAAGUACAUCUUCUUGGCAAG